GAUCAUGGCUCAGGAUGAACGCUAGCUACAGGCUUAACACAUGCAAGUCGAGGGGCAUCAGUUUGGUUUGCUUGCAAACCAAAGCUGGCGACCGGCGCACGGGUGAGUAACACGUAUCCAACCUGCCUCAUACUCGGGGAUAGCCUUUCGAAGAAAGAUUAAUAUCCGAUAGCAUAUAUUUCCCGCAUGGUUUAUUAUAANAAU
rnacentral:rRNA from 1 species